CCUACGGGUGGCAGCAGUGAGGAAUAUUGGUCAAUGGACGAGAGUCUGAACCAGCCAAGUAGCGUGAAGGAUGACUGCCCUAUGGGUUGUCAACUUCUUUUAUAUGGGAAUAAAAUGUUCCACGUGUGGGAUUUUGUAUGUACCAUAUGAAUAAGGAUCGGCUAACUCCGUGCCAGAAGCCGCGGUAAUACGGAGGAUACGAGCGGUAUCCGGCUUUAGUGGGUUUAAAGGGGGCGUAGGUGGAUUGUUAAGUCAGUUGUGAAAGUUUGCGGCUCAACCGUAAAAUUGCAGUUGAAACUGGCAGUCUUGAGUACAGUAGAGGUAGGCGGAAUUCGUGGUGGAGCGGUGAAAUGCUUAGAUAUCACGAAGAACUCCGAUUGCGAAGGCAGCUCACUGGAUUGCAACUGACACUGAGGCUCGAAAGUGUGGGUAUCAAACAGGAUUAGAUACCCUUGUAGUC
rnacentral:rRNA from 1 species